rnacentral:rRNA from 1 species
UGCAAGUCGAGCGAUGAGAUCCCUUCGGGGAUGGAUUAGCGGCGAACGGGUGAGGAACACGUGAGGAAUCUACCUUCAACACUGGGAUAACUCCGGGAAACCGGGGCUAAUACCGGAUACGAGAUCGGCAGGCAUCUGCUGAUCUGGAAAGUUUUUCGGUUGAAGAUGACCUCGCGGCCUAUCAGCUUGUUGGUGAGGUAAUGGCUCACCAAGGCGACGACGGGUAGCCGGCCUGAGAGGGCGACCGGCCGCACUGGGACUGAGACACGGCCCAGACUCCUACGGGAGGCAGCAGUGGGGAAUAUUGGGCAAUGGAGGGAACUCUGACCCAGCGACGCCGCGUGCGGGAUGAAGGCCUUCGGGUUGUAAACCGCUUUCAGCAGGGAAGAAGCGAAAGUGACGGUACCUGCAGAAGAAGCACCGGCUAACUAUGUGCCAGCAGCCGCGGUAAUACAUAGGGUGCAAGCGUUGUCCGGAAUUAUUGGGCGUAAAGAGCUCGUAGGUGGUUCGUCACGUCGGAUGUGAAAAUCUGGGGCUUAACCCCAGACCUGCAUUCGAUACGGGCGAGCUAGAGUGUGGUAGGGGAGACUGGAAUUCCUGGUGUAGCGGUGGGAUGCGCAGAUAUCAGGAGGAACACCAAUGGCGAAGGCAGGUCUCUGGGCCAUUACUGACACUGAGGAGCGAAAGCGUGGGGAGCGAACAGGAUUAGAUACCCUGGUAGUCCA